GUGGGGAAUCUUGCACAAUGGGGGCAACCCUGAUGCAGCGACGCCGCGUGAGCGAUGAAGCCCUUCGGGGCGUAAAGCUCUUUCGACCGGAACGAUAAUGACGGUACCGGGAGAAGAAGCUGCGGCUAACUACGUGCCAGCAGCCGCGGUAAUACGUAGGCAGCAAGCGUUGUUCGGAGUUACUGGGCGUAAAGAGUGCGUAGGCGGUUUUGUAAGACAGAUGUGAAAUCCCCGGGCUUAACCUGGGAACUGCGUUUGUGACUGCAAGGCUGGAGUACGGCAGAGGGGGGUGGAAUUCCACGUGUAGCAGUGAAAUGCGUAGAGAUGUGGAGGAACACCGAUGGCGAAGGCAGCCCCCUGGGCCUGUACUGACGCUCAUGCACGAAAGCGUGGGGAGCAAACA
rnacentral:rRNA from 1 species